rnacentral:rRNA from 1 species
GAGGAAUAUUGGUCAAUGGGCGAGAGCCUGAACCAGCCAUCCCGCGUGCAGGAAGACGGCCCUAUGGGUUGUAAACUGCUUUUUUAUGGGAAGAAAAAGCUCUACGUGUAGGGCACUGACGGUACCAUAUGAAUAAGCAUCGGCUAACUCCGUGCCAGCAGCCGCGGUAAUACGGAGGAUGCGAGCGUUAUCCGGAUUUAUUAGGUUUAAAGGGUGUGUAGGCGGGUUAUUAAGUCAGUGGUGAAAUCUCAGAGCUUAACUCUGAAACUGCCAUUGAUACUGGUAAUCUUGAGUACAGUUGAAGUAGGCGGAAUGUGUAAUGUAGCGGUGAAAUGCUUAGAUAUUACACAGAACACCGAUUGCGAAGGCAGCUUACUAAGCUGUUACUGACGCUGAUGCACGAAAGCGUGGGGAGCGAAC